ACCUUUGCAAACGCAUACGGUUCUCCUUUGGGGAGAUUAAUAGGGAACCGGGUGAGAAUCCCGGACAGUCCCGCUGCUGUGUGUGGCAUUAUGGUCAAGCAAUAAGUCACUGUUGAUCAAGAGACGAUAGGUUCAUUUCGUUUCUGUUCUUUACAUCGAUGGGAAGACGCUUGACUGACGCCACGAGCCAGAAGACCUGCCGUAGAGCGAUGAUAUCAU
rnacentral:ncRNA from 19 species